rnacentral:lncRNA from 1 species
CUUCUUUCUAAACGAAUGACGUAACCACGAAGGUCAUAGCAACCCUUGAGCCUUAGUUUCCCCCUCGGCAAAGUGAGCACGUUUCUAGAUUUCAAAGAUUAUAGAGGCAAACUCUGGAUGAGUGUGCCGUUGUUGAAGUCCCAGAGCAUUUUACUUCAUGCUUGCUCCCCCAUUCCCAAGCCUUUCUUGUCAUGGGCUUAAGCUCCAUUUAACUGUGGUGUGUGUUUUCAGAAUUGAAACUCAAAGAUGGAUGAUCAGGAUCCUGGGGGCAUUAGCCCCCUUCAGCAGAUGGUGGCCUCAGGAGCUGGGGCUGUGGUCACCUCCCUCUUCAUGACACCCCUGGAUGUGGUGAAGGUCCGCCUUCAGUCUCAGAGACCCACGGUAGCCAGCGAAUUGACAACUCCCUCCAGAUUCUGGAGUCUUUCCUACACCAAAUCACCCUCCACUCUACAGUCCCCAGGGAAGUGCCUCCUGUACUGCAAUGGUGUCCUGGAGCCCCUGUACCUGUGCCCAAAUGGUACUCGCUGCGCCACCUGGUUUCAGGAUCCUACACGGUUCACUGGCACCUUGGUAAGCUCUGUACCAAGGACACACAUCCGUGUUUCCCUGAGGGACUCGAUUUGGCUAGGCUGUAGGUGUGGGCAGUGUAAAGCCAAUGGGGUGGCUAUUCAGUGUAGG